AGUUGUGAUAAUUUAAGCAAGCCUUUUCAACGUCUCAAGAGGGUGCGAAACAUGGGUCAUGCCUUUAACAAUUGACGUCAACUCUCCUUUGGUGAAAGCAUAAUCAUAUCAGCAGUAGCAAAGAAUUAGUAUUGCCUUGGAUUUACUUCUACCUGAUAUCAAAUUCUAUUUAUGCUAUCUAAUUUCCUUUCUUUCGCAGAUUCUGCCCAAGCUUCAUAUAUUGGGUGCUAGCUUCUCUUACACGGUGGAUAGCUCUUUGCUGCAGCGGCGUUGUCAUACUCAACUCCCAGGCCUUGUCCAGUUUCUGCUACACAUAGAUGAAUCUGACGAGCCAUGAGUGAAGGCAUGACGAACCACGAAUUAGGUGACUUUGAAGAUUAUGGAAACAUUCCAAAAUACCAGCGUUGAUGCUUCAUGAUGUUGUGGAUUCUAUGUUCCACUGAAUUCUUUUCAAGCACGAUAAAAAUAUACCAACGCAGGGAAAUCGAUAUGCCAUCGACACCGAAACUUGCUGUUGAAAUCGAGAGCUUCGUGCAACUGGCACCGAUCCCUGUAGAACUAAGAAGCUUCGUGCAAUUGGCACCGAUCCUGUAGAAUCAAGACGCUUCGUGCAAUUGGCACCGAUCAAUCAUUUGGGAUCAGCAGCUUCGUAUCACUGGCAUCGUGUCUGUAAAAGCAGAAACGUCGUGCUAUGGCACCGAUAUCCAUUAAUCGAGCUGAUCGUCGUGCUACUUGAACUGUAUCUGCAAAAGCGUCAUCUUGUUGGCACCGAGGGCUCCAAAAUCUUUUCUUAUUUUGCAGGUUUUCAAGAGAGUACAAAAGCAACUUGGUACAUCCCUUCUUGCAGCUUGACGGGAGACAUAUAGAGUAUUCCUAAGCGAGCUUGAUCGACGAGCCAUAUCCCCACUUUGCAACAUGCGAGCGAGAACAUGGUACAUCUCCGCCUUGUGACUUGGUGAGAAACAGGAUUGGAGCUCGAGCGACCAUAUUUCAUCCUUGGCGAGUGAGUGCGACAUGUACCAUAUCACAUUGCUGCAGGCUAGCGAGGGAGACAACUGGAGUAGGCUUUUCCAACUUCGGCGAGCAAACACUUGGGCCAGAUUCCAUCAGGACAAGUCGGAAUGAACUUUUGAAGGCGGUACACCAGUCUGUCAUUUCGGCUUCACAGCACUGCAUGCUAUCAUUGGAACGCACAUAUCUCAAGCUAGGAGCGUCCGAAUCACGAGCCGUCUGUGCCAUUGGAAAGAAGACUCAUAGAUGAUGAAAUCGUGAAGAUAUCAUAGAAGAAUUCCUAGCAGAUUGUCCGCAACAACUUUCUGAACUUGACCCAUCUGUCCACGAAAUUACUUUUCAGCUUUGCGCACUAUAGUGGAAAAAUUCAUAUCUCGAGCUACAAGUGUCGGAAUUACAAUCCGUUUGCAUCGUUAGAAAGAAAACUCGGAGACCUGAAGGAUCUAUAACUUUCAUGGCAUAACUCCUUUCGGGUAUCAACAGAAAAUUCGCGGCGUCGACUUAACUGCAGUGAACUUUCAGAUUUGCGUACCUUCAGCGAAAAUAAUUGUAUCUUGAGCUAGGAGUAUCGGAAUUACAAUCCGUUUGUUCCGUUGGAGAGAAAACUCCUAGAGCUGCAACACAUAAAAAUUCCAUCCCGGAACUCUUCUCGGGCUAAAAACAGAAAAAUAUUGGAAGUCCCACUGACCGCAGGGAACUUUCACGUUUGCGUGCUUUUGGCCAGAAAAACUGCAUCUUGAACUAGGAGCGUCGAAAUCACCAACAGUUUGAUCCUAUGAAAUUCGGACGUCGAGAACUAUAAUCUUGUUGAAUAUGAAGCUCCAUUCGCUCUUAGUUAGCCUAACAAAUAUUUUUGAAGUUGAUUCUACAGCCUUGUAAUGGAUUCGGCUAUCAUCAUGAAUCUUAUCUCUUUGUUUAUUUCUUUUGCAGACUUGCGAAGAAGUUCAACGAGUCCAGAUAUCAGUCUGAGAUGUCACACAAGAUGCAGAGUCACCUCUUCACCAAUUGUUGCACUUGAUUUGUUGACGGUCUUGAAGUUUAUCAAUGGCGGCUCCCGUGGUGAUUAAAGGUUUUUCAAAAGAGAUGACUUCUUAUAUACGAGGCAUUGAGGAUAGUGUAUUAAAAUGUGGAGACGUCAUAUGGACUUGGAAGAAGCAUUCAAGACGAGUCGGCCAUAAAACCUAGUUUACGAUCAUUUUCAUGACUUAGGCUUUUGUAUAGGAAAACGUCUAAUUCCUUUUGUCUCCACUUUUUUUGAUGUAUCAACUUUUGUACUAUUGAAGCAAUAAAACAUCUUUUAUACUUCAAAG